GCUAGAAGUAAAGCGACCAGUUAGAAGUUUUAAUACAGUUAAAAGACAACAAAACUCUCAAAUAGAAAGGUAGCUCAAAUAGAGCAGCCAUCUAAAGAAGUCUAAACAGUAUCUAUUGUGCAAUAAAUUUCCUAAGUUUCUGGAUGAAAUCCUUGUCCAUCUUUCCUAAAGUCCAUUCAAGUCCAUGUAAGACAGCCACAUCCUCACCUCCUAGUUUGCAUCACCUUUUUACAUCUUUGUAAAAUUGACAGUCAAAUGUAUCAUAGAAUGAUUUUAAAAGGAUGUUUAAGUGAGUUUGAGAUAUUUCAUGUUUACUUGCUAUUAUUUUGCUAUUAUUUUCUUCUUUGAAUUAUCACUACAUUUUUGUCAUUUUAGAAACAACUGGUUCAGGUCUUUUACACUGAGCUGCAGAAGAUGUUUAUGUUAAACAUUACAAAAACCAAGGGAAUAAAUAACCAAUAUAUUAUGCCAAUGUAAAUAAUAUGACACAUUUUCACAUAUUUUUAUGCGGUCAAGUACUACACUACCCACUAACAAAUCAACUGUCAUAUAAUCUUCAACAACGAUGUCCUCUUGAUUUUUAAGAGAUUUGUACAAGGGAUAAGUUCAAAUGAACAUGUGGGUUUUCUUUUCUUUUAUAACAUGGAAGAUUUCUUCUCCAGUGAGCUAGUCUGAAACAGGUGGAGGCAUGCAAUAAAAAGAGUAGACAACCUUAAGAAACACCCUUUUCUCUUUCCACCAAAGCCUCAAAUCAAAAUUUGUCAUUCCAUUUAAGUAUUUCUCUAAUUGAUGGAAGAGGCAAAUUGGGUGUAAGAUACUAUCACCCAAUUCCAUUCCCAGAAACACGGCACAAUAAAAUGCACUCAUUUCUUGACUCAAACCCUUACAAAGAAUGAGAAAAUCAAGGGUUAAACUGGAAGCCAAAUUUUUCCUAUAACGCAAAUUUCUUGUACUUUUUGUUCAUUCAUGCAUUGAUUCUACCAAUAACUAUAAUAAUACACCAAUAUAACGAAAUUAUUAACUAUCCAUCAAACACCUACUAGAUGCUAAUUAUUAUGCUGGGCCUUAGAGAACAGUAAUAAAUGCUACCAAAGCCUCUAGUGAACCAUUAAUGUUUUGUUCCUCUCAUAAAGAAAGAAUACCAGAAAAGUCGGUCUAUGUCUUCUUGUAAGCAUUUUUCCAAAUCUUGCCAUAUUACAACCUUACACAAACAAAAUUAUUAUUCACUAAGUCGAGGCUUUCAUGAAAGUUUCUUCCUUGUGACUUCAGCAAUUUUUGAGGGAUGGGAUAUUUCUGUUGCUAUUUUGACAUCACGUGGGAUCGUAAUUCACUCAGCCAAGAAAACAACCAAUCUAUCUAAAUUCAAAGCCACAGUCUCCAGCCAAGACUAGAGAGGGCUACACAUUAUGCAAAGGAUAAUGAGAAAAAUACCAUGCCCCAAAUUUUCCAUGCUACAAAAAUAAUAAAAUCAGUAUCACUGCAAUAAUUUACUCUCACAGAAAUCUUAAGUUAUAAUUUUUUUAAAAUCCUGUGUAAUUUCUUAUUCUUUUCAGUCCAAGCCACAGAAAAGAAGUCUCCUUGUUUAAAGCCUAGGUUCCUUCUUCAGUUGCAAUAGGAUGGGGAGUGACUCUGACUUCCUCUAUAUCUAUGUAUCUACAUUCUUCAGCACUUUCAAACCUGGAGGAAUCCCAAAUAAAGUGGCUAAUUUUCAAAAUUUAUAAGUGGACAGUCCAUUAUAACACUAUUCCCAUAGAGAAGCAUCAUUAGAAUAUCAGAUUUCAAUAACUAAAUAUAGCCACUGGAGUAUCUGCAGCCAAACAAUAACAUAUGUUGACAUUUCCUAAGAAAACAGUAUUUCUCAAACUCAACACCCAGAAAUCCAUUGGUAUUGCCAGUUUAUGGCCCACUUAAAAUGAUUUAGAAGUGGAUGCUUAAAAUAAAACAAAACAUAUGCCUAUAUGCCAAGUAAUUCAAAUUAUGCAUAGUUCUAUGACUAACAUAGAAGAAAAACUGGAUAAACCUUACCCCAAAAGUGCAUUAGGCAGAAAUUACUAUGUCUAAGAAAUCAACACACUAUUCACUAAGAUCGUAUCUACUCUUUUUUUUUUAAAGAUUGGCAUCUGCACUAACAUCUGUUGCCAAUCUUUUUUUUUUUCUUCUCCUCCUCCCCAAAGCCUCCCAGUACAUAGUUGUAUAUUCUAGUUGUGAGUGUCUCUGGUUUUGCUAUAUGGGACGCUGCCUCAACAUGGCUUGAUGAGCCAUGCCACGUCCGCGCCCAGGAUCCAAACCAGUGAAACCCUGGCCCACCGAAGCAGAGCAGGAGAACUUAACCACUCGGCCAUGGGGCCAGCCACUACUCUUAAAAAUGUCCAAUCCCAUGGCAGAGUGGAUAGCUUUGUGCACUCUGCUUCAGCAGCCCAGGGUUUUGCCAGUUUAGAUCCUGGGUGCAGACAUGGCACCACUCAUCAAGCCAUGAUGAGGUGGCACCCCACAUACCAUAACCAGAGGCACUCACAAUUAGAAUAUACAACUAUGUAUUGGGGGGCUUUGGGGAGGAGGAGAAGAAGGAAAAAAGAAGAAUGGCAACAGAUGUUAGCUCAGGUGACAAUCUUUUAAAAAGAAAGCUUUAAAAAUAUCUACUGAUUUUUGGAAGUUUGUGUUUAUUGGUCAUUUUUAUUCAACAUAAACUUAAUGGAAAUGUAUAGUUGAUUAUUAAGAAAAUUAGCAAAAAUAGGUUUCCUCAAAUGAGGUACAUAAUUUAAAGUACAUUGGCAUUUUGUUGUAAGAUACAUAGAUUCAUAUUCUCAAAUAAAUUGUAGGAUUGUUUCCCCUAUCACACAUUUGACCCCAAUGACUCUUAUUAGUCACUUCUAUUUUUUUAUUAUCUUGCAAGAAAAAAAUACAGUAUUUUGCACUGAAAUUGAUUAUAAGACAACUACUUUUCCUUUAAAAUUCCCUGCUCAUUUUCAUACUUAUAACUAUUCUAUAACAUAUUUACUUAUGUUAUCCAUAUAAAUUAGCAAUCAUAAUAGCACUUUCAGAAAAUACAUAUUUAAUUCUGAAUAAAAUUCAGUUGUUCUCCAUAUGUGGUACCUAAACCAGCAGCAUCUGUCAGACCUAGACCUACUGAAUCAGAAACUCUGACCCAAACUGUACAAGCCCUUGAAAUGACUCCCAUACGUACAAAAGUUUGAUUUAAUCGAAGCUGCCUAGAAAUGUACAACUCUUUAUCCAUUUAACUAACCACUGCAGGAACAGACAUUUGAGCAAAUCUUGCUCAUCACAAUCAUCUCAACAGAAGACACAAUAUUGCCAACAGUCAACAAGAAAGGACACAGAACCUACCAUGACAAAGCAGCCUGAGACCCACACACUGAAGUUGAACAGAAUAUAGCAGGUAAAUGGUAAUUCUGACUCCUAAGUUACCCCAACUGUUCCAGUAGUCAAACAGGGGAGCUUUCCUACUGCCAACAAUGGAAACAAUCAAAACAAUCCAGAUACUGCUCUAAAUCUACAUGUCUCCCUUCUCACUUGAACAAGACAAGGACAUGCUACAAUAACUUUAAACCUUGUUUUUUUCCUUUUUCUCUUCCUUUCAUCUACCACUGCAUUCUGUGUCUACUGCUAACUCAUUCCUUCCAUUACUCUCUCACCAAAUUGCACCCAUCAUAAAUUAGAUUGGCUGGACCUCAGAUUUCCCUUUGCAAGAAUGAAAGCUGUCAUUAGGCUCAAGAAACAAUGAGUCUGAUCAUAAAGCCAAUCCUCCCUUCCUCCAAAAGAAAAACCCAAAAAUUGAUCCUCUUCCAGGGAUUCAUAUUUAAAAGGAAUUUUCUUUAUUUCACUUCUAAAGAAGCAUCAUCCCAAGAAUGGGGUUAUUUGGAUGGGGCUAAACCAGCAACUACCACUGUAUCCAUUCUCCCAGAAUAACUGACCACUCUGAAUUGCACCAAAAAUCCGAAGUCAAAUAACCCUAUGACAAACACUACACCUCAACAGACCCCAAAAUCAUUUCUUUCCUUUCUCACCCAACUGUAUGCUUCUAAUCUGAUUCAGUUAGUAGCAAGGUAGCUCACUUCUCUCAAUUCAUCUGGCAUAUCCCUACCAGCCAGGAUUAGGAUCAGGAACACUAAGAGAAAUGAAACAAAUCUGAGAGGUUAUAAAUAUACUAAAUUUUCUGGCAGGAAAACAGGGACUUGAUAAGGAAAAUAAUUGUGAAAAAACGUGUCUACCUCGCUUUGAAAAGAAUGUAUUCUGGGCCGGUCCUGUGGCAGAAUAAUUGAAAGUUCCACACCCUCUGCUUUGGCAGCCCAGGUUCACGGGUUCAGAUCCUGGUGUAGACCUACUCCACUCAUAAGGCCAUGCUGUGGAGGCAUCCCACACACAAAAUAGAGGAAGACUGGCACAGAUGUUAGCUCAAGGGUAAUCCUCCCCAAGCUAAAAGGGAGGAACACUGACAAUGGAUGCUAGCUCUGGGUGAAAUCUACCUCACCAAAACAAAUUUAAAAAAGAAUGCAUUCUUCUGAACCCCAACACUUUUUCCCUAUAAACUACUCACUUGUUAUAGUAUCAACACCCACAUCAUUUAUUCAUAUAUACACACACACCUCUUAAAUUUAAGAUGACUGUUUAAAGAUAAGAUCUUGAUAUAUUCAACUGUCCACAGUACCUUUUUUUAUAUAGGUUUUCCUAAAGUAUCUGUUUCCUUACUACUUAACCACCUAACAGCUAGUAUAAGCAAAGCACAAGCACCUAAUCAUAGAAUGCCGGUCACAGAUAACAAAAGAUCCAUUACCUAUACAAGUGAAGAUAAAUAUUAAACACUGUGUUAUUGAAAACCUGAUUCAAAGAAAUGCAUACUAUUUAUCAAACAGUUCCUCUCUCCAGGAUUCAGCACUGACAAGUACAAAAAGCUGAUUUCAUUCCCUUGACUCACAAAGAGUCAAAACUUCUAAAGCUCCAUCUGUGUCUGGCCAAGAUAAUUAAAGUGGUGAUUUAUUAAGGAUUAGAGUAAUCUCUCUGAAUGUAACUUAAUCAUUCGUCUAAAAAUAUAAGUCUCAUCUUAGACCAAAGCUGGGUCUCAACAACUAGCACUUUUUCAUUCAUGUGGUAACUGGAGCUGGUUCAGAAAGGUUGGGAACAUGCAAUCAGUAAACUUUAGCACAAACACCAACAGCAUCCGUGUGAAGGUACUUACCAGAUUCAUUGUAUUUCAUCAUAAUAUUAGUUUCUCUCCUUCCUGGACAUCAGUUAAACACCUAGCACUGUGGCAUUCAAGGUCUGAUCCAAGAGGUGCUAAAUUUCCUUUUUGCGUGUCCUUGCUUCCAUCUCACCACACGCGUGCCUUCUCAGAUCCAAGGAUGUGCUUUCUUUUUUGCUUUCAUCAGCAUGCACAUAUCUGGAGUGGUUUAAGUUUCUCUUCUAAAUGCAGCUAAUCCAAUUUUCAGCCUUGUUGCAACACUACUUGGUCGGAUCCACAAUGACAGGUCAGAAAAUUCAGUGAUCAAAUUCUCUCUUCCUUUCAGUCAUCAACUAAGCGGGCAAAAAGGCAUUGCUUAAGACUGAAAAAGCUGCAAC
rnacentral:lncRNA from 1 species